UACGUAGGGUGCGAGCGUUAAUCGGAAUUACUGGGCGUAAAGCGUGCGCAGGCGGUUCGCUAAGACCGAUGUGAAAUCCCCGGGCUUAACCUGGGAACUGCAUUGGUGACUGGCGGGCUAGAGUGUGGCAGAGGGGGGUAGAAUUCCACGUGUAGCAGUGAAAUGCGUAGAGAUGUGGAGGAAUACCGAUGGCGAAGGCAGCCCCCUGGGAUAAUACUGACGCUCAUGCACGAAAGCGUGGGGAGCAAACAGG
rnacentral:rRNA from 1 species